UGGGGAAUAUUGGACAAUGGGCGAAAGCCUGAUCCAGCAAUGCCGCGUGAGUGAUGAAGGCCUUAGGGUUGUAAAGCUCUUUUACCAGGGAUGAUAAUGACAGUACCUGGAGAAUAAGCUCCGGCUAACUCCGUGCCAGCAGCCGCGGUAAUACGGAGGGAGCUAGCGUUGUUCGGAAUUACUGGGCGUAAAGCGUACGUAGGCGGUGACUCAAGUCAGAGGUGAAAGCCUGGAGCUCAACUCCAGAACUGCCUUUGAAACUAGGUCGCUAGAAUCACGGAGAGGUGAGUGGAAUUCCGAGUGUAGAGGCGAAAUUCGUAGAUAUUCGGAAGAACACCAGUGGCGAAGGCGGCUCACUGGACGUGUAUUGACGCUGAGGUACGAAAGCGUGGGGAGCAAACAGGAUUAGAUACCCCCGUAGUCCCUGAGCGGGCUGGCAAGGCGCAU
rnacentral:rRNA from 1 species